GGGAUGGUGAGGAGGAGUCAGGGUGUGUGAUUCACAUGGGCCGUUCAGACAGAGAAGAAACGGUGAGACAUAUGGGAGAUAACUUCAUAUGCUGUCUCUGACAAAGCUAAAGAAAUUCUGUAUCUCAGAUAGACAGUAAAGAUAAGGUAGUAAAGUGCUUUGAAGUGGGAAGAUCUCUGAAGAAGAACUGAGAUGAAGGCAGGAACAAGACGGUAAAAAAAAAUAGCAUGUUCCUAUUCUCAGCUCAAAGCUAAAAGGAGGAUUGUACUUGCUUGAAGCAUAAUCCUUCCUGAAAGCUGCCACAGGCAGGUUCUGUAUCUCCCAUAACUCAGGCUAUACUUAAAUAAAACAGUUUAGCCUUUAGUAUUUUCACAGAAUUUUUUUGCCAUUGGAG
rnacentral:lncRNA from 1 species